CAGGUGGAGAGGGACAUUACGGUGACCCCGGUUUACCACCGGGAUGUUCAUAACCCUUUGUUGUCCGACUCUGUUGCCUCCGGGGCGACCCUGCCUUCGGGCGGGGGCUCCGGGUGGACACUUCAAACUCUUGCGUAACUUUGCAGUCUGAGUAAACUUAAUUAAUAAAUUAAAACUUUUAACAACGGAUCUCUUGGUUCUGGCAUCGAUGAAGAACGCAGCGAAAUGCGAUAAGUAAUGUGAAUUGCAGAAUUCAGUGAAUCAUCGAAUCUUUGAACGCACAUUGCGCCCCCUGGUAUUCCGGGGGGCAUGCCUGUUCGAGCGUCAUUUCACCACUCAAGCCUCGCUUGGUAUUGGGCAACGCGGUCCGCCGCGUGCCUCAAAUCGACCGGCUGGGUCUUCUGUCCCCUAAGCGUUGUGGAAACUAUUCGCUAAAGGGUGUUCGGGAGGCUACGCCGUAAAACAACCCCAUUUCUAAGGUUGACCUCGGAUCAGGUAGGGAUACC
rnacentral:rRNA from 1 species